CGACGUAGCUCAGCUGGUAGAGCAACGGUUUCGUAAACCGUAGGUCGAGGGUUCGAAUCCCCUCGUCG
rnacentral:tRNA from 1 species